rnacentral:rRNA from 1 species
GUGCGUAGUGAUUGUAUAGUUUGAUCAUGGCUCAGAUUGAACGCUGGCGGCAUGCCUUACACAUGCAAGUCGAACGGCAGCGCGUCCUUCGGGAUGGCGGCGAGUGGCGAACGGGUGAGUAAAGCAUCGGAACGUGCCCGGUAGUGCGGGAUAGCUCGGCGAAAGCCGGAUUAAUACCGCAUGAGAUCCGUGGAUGAAAGCAGGGGACCCCUUGUGGGCCUUGCGCUACUGGAGCGGCCGAUGUCGGAUUAGGUAGUUGGUGGGGUAAAGGCCUACCAAGCCUGCGAUCUGUAGCUGGUCUGAGAGGAUGAUCAGCCACAUCGGGACUGAGACACGGCCCGAACUCCUACGGGAGGCAGCAGUGGGGAAUUUUGGACAAUGGGCGCAAGCCUGAUCCAGCCAUGCCGCGUGCAGGAUGAAGGCCCUCGGGUUGUAAACUGCUUUUGUACGGAACGAAAAGCCUCCUUCUAAUAAAGGGGGGUGAUGACGGUACCGUAAGAAUAAGCACCGGCUAACUACGUGCCAGCAGCCGCGGUAAUACGUAGGGUGCGAGCGUUAAUCGGAAUUACUGGGCGUAAAGCGUGCGCAGGCGGUCUUGCAAGACAGUGGUGAAAUCCCCGGGCUCAACCUGGGAACUGCCAUUGUGACUGCAAGGCUGGAGUACGGCAGAGGGGGAUGGAAUUCCGCGUGUAGCAGUGAAAUGCGUAGAUAUGCGGAGGAACACCGAUGGCGAAGGCAGUCCCCUGGGCCUGUACUGACGCUCAUGCACGAAAGCGUGGGGAGCAAACAGGAUUAGAUACCCUGGUAGUCCACGCCCUAAACGAUGUCAACUGGUUGUUGGGGAUUUAUUUCCUCAGUAACGAAGCUAACGCGUGAAGUUGACCGCCUGGGGAGUACGGCCGCAAGGUAAAACUCAAAGGAUUGACGGGGACCCGCACAGCGGUGGAUGAUGUGUUUAUUCGAUGCACGCGAAAACCUUACCCACCUUUGACAUGGCAGAUCCUUUAGAGAUAGAGAGUGCUCGAAGAGACCUGCACACAGGUGCUGCAUGGCUG